ensembl:snoRNA SCARNA10 small Cajal body-specific RNA 10
GCCCCGUGAUGAGAACAUGGCAAAUAUGAGCUGAUUGGCUGGGUUUUUGUGUUCUCUUGCUUUCUGACUGGUGGGUAAUCUUGGCAGAGCAGUGGAGAUUGGCUGCGCUGCUGUAAGGGCCCACCCAUAUUGAUGCCGGCUGUCAAGCAUAAUACAAUUCUCCUGUAGAAAUGGAUAUUUGUGGAUGAUUUGGCAGCUUACAGUGUGUGUGUGUGUGUGUGUGUGUUUAUGUCCUGGGUGUGUGUACAUGUGUCAGUCAGCAAAGAGUCACAUCUCCUAACAGGCUCACCGGCUGUGAAUGUUUUCUUUGGUAAUCUGAGGGCA